CCUCAAUUUCUGAUGUCUUGACUCUAGUUUGUUUCUGUUUUGUUUUGGACGGAAUUUUGUGACUAUCUGUUCGAUAUCGGAAACACAUUGGGCUCUAUAAGCCGGCGUUUAAACGUUUAUUUAACGUAUUGUGAAUUAAAGAUUAAAAUGACGAAAACGAAGUCCAGUGAAGAGUCGCCCAUCAAGAUUCGAAAAGGAGCGCUAACCGUUUCUCAAAUAAACGCAGAUGAACUCACUUUCUUGGCCAAUCGCUUCUGGGCUCCAGAUACUGGUAAUUGUCAUGAAGGAUAUAACCCGAGUGUAAUUGAAGAAAUUUAUCGCCGAGAAAUUUGUGAAACGCGUCAUUCAAUGCGCCGAAUUAUGAUGCUGGAAUUCAGCCAGUAUCUGGAGAACUAUUUAUGGCCCAAUUACGCCGGAGAAGAUUCCACCCGGUCACAUCUAAUGUCAAUUGUAGUAAUGCUGAAUGAAAAGUUUAGGGAAAAAGUGGAAGUGUGGAAAGUUUUCGAUGAGCGUCCGGAUCAGUUUCCAAUAUUUUUUCAGCAAGUGCUGGAAGCCUGUUUAGAAGAGACGACGGUUACACCAUAUAAUAUGCGCGAACAAACGGCAUUGUUAGUGUUUUUGAAUCAUUGCUUCAACAGCAUGGAAGUUGAAUUGUGUAGAAAUCAAGCAAAAAGAUUAGUCUCACUUGCGAUGUGGUCGUGCUUGCAACCAAAGCGGCGUGAGCAAGAGUUGAAAGAAAUCCCAGAAUGGAGGAAAUUCUGGAAAAGAUUGCAGAAAAGGGACAAACCAGAAAUGUCGCCGAAGCUUGAGUGGGAGAGGCAUUUCUUACAAAAUCUUGUAAUUAAGUUUAUGAACAUUCUUGAAUUGAUUCCGGAAAUAGGAGAAGUCUGUGAAGAAACCAUCAAGUACUGUGAAAGAUUUCUUGAAUUUUUAAUAGAUUUAGAAGCACUGUUGCCGACGAGGCGGUUUUUCAACACAGUUAUGGAUGAUUGCCACGUUGUUGUGCGGUGCUCGAUGGCUCCAUUACUUCAGAGACCCGAGGGAAAUUUGUUCGCUCAGUUGCUGGAUAUGCUAAAGUUCUAUGCUCGUUUCGAGAUCAACGACGAGACUGGUGACCCGUUGACUGAUCAUGACAUGACUCAGCUACACUAUUCGAAAAUUAAGGCCCUGCAGAAGGCAGCAUUUGCCAAAUUUCCGGACCUACGUCUUUUCGCACUCUCUAAUGUGGCUAAUGUGGAUACGCGGGAGUCACUUGAAAAACAUUUCGGUGCCCUCGAUGAAAAAAGUUUAAAAGACAUUGCCUGCUACCUCAACCUGGUCCCAGAAGAGCUAACACCACAGUUUCAUUGGCAUAGGUUGGAUGAACCAUUUCUUCGAGAGUUGUUAAUAUCAAGGCACGAGCGCCGAGUCUCACAGUUAGAAUCAUUGAACGAGAUGCCUUUGUAUCCAACCGAAGAGAUUAUCUGGAAUGAAAAUAUUGUUCCCACAGAGUACUACUCCGGUGAUGGUUGCUUGGCAUUGCCAAAAUUGAAUUUGCAGUUUUUGACUCUACAUGAUUAUCUUCUUAGGAACUUCAACCUAUUUCGACUGGAAUCUACUUACGAAAUACGGCAGGAUAUCGAGGAUGCAGUUAGUCGGAUGCUACCUUGGGAGUCAGAAGAAGGUGAUGUAGUUUUCGGAGGAUGGGCCAGAAUGGCGCUACCGAUUCAGUCAUUUGCGGUAGUUGAAGUAUCUAAACCACAUAUAGGGGAGAAGAAACCAUCACGUGUACGAGCAGAUGUUAGCGUAACACUUAAUAUUCGAAAGGAAAUACAGGACGAAUGGGAAAAUUUGCGCAAACACGAUGUUUGUUUUUUAAUCACCGUUAAGCCAACGCAGCCUAUCGGAACAAAAUAUGACUAUAAAGAGCACUUCAUCCCACAAGUUGGAUUAGUUCAUGUACGCGGAUGUGAAAUUGAGGGAAUGUUAGACGCUAAUGGACGAGUGAUUGAAGAUGGAAUCGAACAGAGGCCGCAACUAAUUGGUGAACAACGUACUUACAGGGUGUGGUUGGACUCGAAUCAGUACCGAGUUGAUAUGGACGGCCUUCAGACAGGCGGUGAUGACGUAUAUGAAGGUUUCAACAUUAUUAUGCGCCGUAAGCCAAAAGAAAACAAUUUCAAGGCAGUUUUAGAAACGAUUCGUCAUUUGAUGAAUACAGAAUGCGUGGUUCCUCCGUGGCUCCACGAUAUUUUGCUGGGAUACGGCGAUCCGGGCGCAGCUCAUUACAGCCGGAUGUCUGAGCAAGCACGCGUAUUGGACUUCAACGACACAUUUUUAGAUAUAAACCAUGCAAAGACCAGUUUUCCUGAAUACGAAAUAGUGAUCAAAGAAUCGGAACCAGCGAAACUUAUACGCCCCUUCCGAUUAACAUUCGAAGAUGUUCCUGUUCAAAUUGACACCGGUGAUGAUGACGAGGAUAGUAGUGAGGAUAAAAAGACAAAACUACCGAAAAGAAUUGUUAUCGAGCCGUAUGUUAUCCCUAAGCGAGGCCCGUAUAAGUAUAAUGAGCCAAAAAAAAACACGAUUCGCUUUACUCCAACCCAAGUUGAAGCGAUCCGAGCUGGGAUGCAGCCUGGUUUAACACUGGUUGUAGGUCCCCCGGGCACGGGCAAAACUGACGUGGCUGUCCAAAUUAUUUCCAAUCUAUAUCACAAUCAUCCUCAGCAGCGUACUUUGAUCGUGACACAUUCCAAUCAAGCGUUGAAUCAGCUGUUUGAAAAGAUAAUGGCACUCGAUAUAGACGAACGUCAUUUGUUACGUUUGGGUCACGGUGAGGAAUCACUGGAAACUGAAAAAGAUUACAGCCGAUACGGACGGGUUAACUACGUUCUGUCUAAACGUAUUGAUUUAUUGGAGCAAGUUCAACGUCUACAGGACUCGCUCGGUGUUGCAGGCGAUGUAGCGUACACUUGCGAAACGGCUGGACAUUUCUAUUUGUAUCAAAUUAUUGCCCGAUGGGAAAAAUUUUUGAACGAUUUUAAUGCUAGUAAAGAAUACAAGAAUGCGACAGCUUAUGAAGAAGAAUUUCCCUUUACUAAAUUUUUCCACGAUGCCCCACAACCGCUCUUUUAUGGAAGUACAUUCGAGGAAAACAUGGAAAUAGCUAAGAGUUGCUAUCGGUACAUUACGCAUAUUUUUACUGAACUAGAAGAGUUUAGAGCCUUCGAGCUCUUGAGAAGUGGUCUAGAUCGUUCUAAAUAUUUACUGGUGAAAGAAGCCAAAGUUAUUGCUAUGACCUGUACUCAUGCCGCUUUGAAACGAAAGGAGUUAGUUAAUAUGGGUUUCAAGUACGAUAACAUUCUGAUGGAAGAAUCGGCACAAAUUUUGGAAAUAGAGACUUUUAUUCCUUUACUGCUUCAAAACCCGAUGGAUGGUUACAAUCGCCUAAAACGGUGGAUCAUGAUUGGUGACCAUCAUCAGUUGCCUCCAGUUAUCAAAAAUAUGGCUUUUCAAAAGUAUUCCAAUAUGGAACAAUCACUUUUCACGAGAUUAGUUCGUCUGGGAGUCCCUACAAUCGAUUUGGAUGGUCAAGGACGUGCAAGAUCUAGUAUUUGUGAACUUUAUAAGUGGCGCUAUUCCAAACUAGGCGAUUUGGAACAUAUCACUAAAUAUACUGAAUACAUUAAUUGUAAUCCAGGUUUUGCAUAUGAUUAUCAAUUGAUAAAUGUGGAAGAUUUCAACGGAGUCGGGGAAUCGGAGCCAAAUCCAUAUUUCUAUCAAAACCUUGCCGAAGCCGAAUAUGUGGUAGCAGUUUUUAUGUACAUGCGUUUGAUUGGAUAUCCAGCAGAAAAAAUUUCUAUUUUAACAACUUAUAACGGCCAAAAGCAUUUAAUUCGGGACGUAAUAGAAGCACGCUGCGCGGAAAACUCUUUUGUGGGAAAACCACACAAAGUCACUACAGUUGACAAGUAUCAAGGUCAGCAAAAUGAUUACAUUCUUCUGUCAUUGGUUCGCACUAAGGCCAUUGGACACAUAAGAGAUGUACGUCGACUGGUAGUGGCUAUGAGUCGUGCACGUCUAGGGCUUUACAUUUUCGGGCGCGUUUCACUUUUCAAAAACUGCGUGGAAUUACAACCGGCCUUUAAACUGCUGACAAAACGUCCUCUACAAUUGCACCUUGUUGCGGAGGAGUUAUAUCCCGGGGUGAGGAAGGUAGAUGACAGUAUCAAAAACAACCCAAUCGUUAUGAAAGAUAUGACUGAGAUGGCACAGUAUGUGUACAAUUAUUAUAUGGAAAAGGUGAACGUAAUUCGAGAAGAAAUGGAAAAAAUGAAAGAGCUUUAUAGACAUCAGCAAUCACAACAGGCUGAUAAUGAAUCUGAAUCUACGAGAACUGAAAUCGAAAAAGAUGCCGAACGGAAACGCACCGCAGUCGAACAAAAUAAUGAGCAGUCGAAAGAAUUCGUACCAGCUUUAAUAUGUAAUGAAGUUGAUGUCGAUGAAUCCCAUGAGCUUCCUAGACGAAGUAAAAAACAUGCUCCUCCGAAACACGAAAAACCGAAUCUUGAAGCAAAUCAACAGGAAGAACAUAAGCAGCUAGUACAAUCUAAGCCAAUGGAGGUUGAACAAACAGAAGAAGAUAUUUCUAAAUCUGUACAGGCAUCAGUUGGGCAAACGAUUACGGAGAACCAGGAGAAUCUGGAAGAACUGACAGCAGAAUCUAAACAGAUGGAAGUGGAGGAAAACGACGAGGCAAAUUAGAAAUGAAAACAGAAAAUAUCGACGGAUAAUACAAUUGUUAGAAGUAAUAUUUUCGCUACAGGAGGUGCCUUUUUAAUUUUUCUCAUUUUUAAUGUUUAACUGGAGAAAAAUUCAAUCGAACUACCUAUCAAAUAUCACAUGGGCAGGAGUAAUUCUAAACCAGAAGACCAUAAACUGUGGCUCAACUGGAAGGUAUCAUCGCACCAAAGAAAUAAUUACUGCAAAACACUUUAGGUAACGAGAAGUCUUUAGCGCUACAAAAUUUCAUUUUAUUUCAAAAAUAAUCUAAGGAAAUGCAUUCGUUUUAAAAAAUAUUUUUAUUUCUGA